GACGAACCGUGCGAACGUUGUUCGGAAUCACUGGGCUUAAAGGGCGCGUAGGCGGCCGGUCAAGUCCGGGGUGAAAUCUUUCAGCUCAACUGGAAAAGUGCCCCGGAUACUGAUUGGCUCGAGGGAGGUAGGGGUCGAGGGAACUUCCGGUGGAGCGGUGAAAUGCGUAGAGAUCGGAAGGAACGCCGGUGGCGAAAGCGCUCGACUGGACCUCUUCUGACGCUGAGGCGCGAAAGCUAGGGGAGCAAACGGG
rnacentral:rRNA from 1 species